GCCGAAGUGGCGGAAUGGCAGACGCGAUGGUCUCAAACACCAUUGAGUGCAAGCUCGUGAGGGUUCGACUCCCUCCUUCGGCACCA
rnacentral:tRNA from 2 species